rnacentral:lncRNA from 1 species
GCCUCUUAUUGCUUCUUGCUACUAGAAGCUACCUUCUUCCUCCUACUAUUUAGACAGCAGCCAGCACACUGGGAGAUGCUAUGUAUAGGACAGCUGUAUCAAAUACACCAAAAGUGAUGGGAAAUCACUUCUGAGAGAAACUGUGAAAAGGCCUCUGACUGAAUCUUGCUCGUCCUCUAUACUCACCCUGAGGAAGCCAGCUGCCGUCUUGCUAAUUGCCCUGAAAGGUCCACAUGGGAAUGAACUGAAGGGAGGCCACCAGCCAGAAGUAAGCAAAGAAUGGAGGCCCUCAAAGUCUACUGGCAGUUGAAUCCUGCCAGCAAGCAUGAUGGUGAGCUUGGAAAUGAAUUCUCCACCUCCCCGAAUCCAGCCUUCAGACAGGACUACAGCUCUGUCUGACUGCCCAGAACCUUGAUUGCAGGAUUGUGAGAGAUUUUGAAGCAGAUGCACUCAGCUAACCAGUGCCUGGAUUGCUGCCCCACAGAAACUCUGGAAGACUUGCUAUCCUAAGAGCUGGUAUGGCAGAUGGCAUUGAGAACACCAGUAGGAAAUCUCGAGGUUUUCACCACCCCAAAUCUGGAGACCUGGAUCAUACAGACCCAGUUCAAAGAAGAACUCUUGUUCAGUGGCAAAUAAUCCAUGGCUGGGUACCUGUCCUUAGAUAUGGGAGCUACAAGUGGUGCACACCAGUUAACUGCCACUUCACAGUGGGCAUCAAGCGGGCUCCGGUCGUCAGGCUGUGCAGAGAGGGAAGAACAGAGGACCACGAGCCUCAGGAAACUUCCCACCACCAGCAAAUUGCGUGAGAUGAACCCAAUCUUCAGCCUCAUCUUCCUCCGGCAGUGAGAGACACACAGCCGCCGGGCACAGCCUUCGCCAGGGCUCUCCCCACCCUCCUUCCCCCUCCG